GAUUGGCUACCUUCCAUACCACUUAGCGCAGCAGGCGUUGGAUGCCAACAACAAAGAAAGUGUUGAGAGUAUUGCUACCUUCUUGGGUCCCAUAUUGAAUAACUAUGCGAAAUUCACCGACUAUGAGAAGAUCAUGAUCACAAUAAACUACCAUAAUUCACAUU